rnacentral:tRNA from 1 species
GCUGGUGUGGCUCAGUCGGUAGAGCAGCUGAUUCGUAAUCAGCAGGUCGCGCGUUCAAGUCGCGUCACCAGCUCCA